rnacentral:lncRNA from 1 species
CAAUGCUAGUGAGGAUUUAUGUGAAAUUUCAAAUAUUGAUAUCAAGUGUGCACGAAAGAGGGGGCUUUCUGGACAACAGGUACAAGCUGAUGCCCUUACAAAAAACACAAAACCUAGACUUACUGUUCUCUCUCAGGGGGACAACGUUAUCAUUCCAAUUCCGUCCAUUGACCCUGCCGACGAGAGAAACAUAAAAUGCGUGGUGGUGAGUGUAAAUGAACAUGGAGGCUAUAAAAUUGAAACUAAAGUUG